CUAUCUUUUAGUGUGUUUUUACGUAUUUACGUUCAGCAUUGUCUUUCAUAAUGCUCAAAAUUUUCAACUUGUUGUGUUGCGAACUGUCAAACUGAAAUGAUACUGUCUUCUAUUAACUCUUGAACAGUAGUGAACUGUCGCCGAAACUUUAAUAUAUAAGUCCUGUCACUCAAUUCAAUUCAAUUCACGGGUAUCGAUCGUUUUAUCUGCUAAAUCAAAUAAAACAGUUAUGAGUUGUUUUAUAUGUAAAAGUUAAACUUGUAGUUCGAUGUUUUGAAAAGUUUUCACACCGAUUUUAACAACAAAAACAAAUGUAAAGAAACACUGGAUUCUCUAUAAUCACUACACUCAAAAAGUUAAUGCAUGUUUUGAUGUUAAUAGGCCAAGGACUUGGAAAACGUUUUGCUCUAAAUGUCGUUCUUGUUUUACGUCCUGUUGUUCGUAGAAGUGCAUGUUCUGAGUUUUUGUACGAAUGUAAUUAUGUAAUACCGUAAAUAUUUGUUAAUUUUGUUAAUUUUAUAACCGUUUAUAGUCAGUAUAGCAUAGUAUAGCGUAGUAUUUUCAUGUAUGGCAGGACUUAAUUUGGGACUUUAUUAGUCCUGUUGUCUGUGC